rnacentral:rRNA from 1 species
AUUGAACGCUGGCGGCAUGCCUUACACAUGCAAGUCGAAACGGCAGCACGGGAGCAAUCCUGGUGGCGAGUGGCGAACGGGUGAGUAAUAUAUCGGAACGUGCCCGGUCGUGGGGGAUAACGUAGCGAAAGCUACGCUAAUACCGCAUACGAUCUACGGAUGAAAGCGGGGGAUCGCAAGACCUCGCGCGAUUGGAGCGGCCGAUAUCAGAUUAGGUAGUUGGUGAGGUAAAGGCUCACCAAGCCGACGAUCUGUAGCUGGUCUGAGAGGACGACCAGCCACACUGGGACUGAGACACGGCCCAGACUCCUACGGGAGGCAGCAGUGGGGAAUUUUGGACAAUGGGCGCAAGCCUGAUCCAGCAAUGCCGCGUGCAGGAUGAAGGCCUUCGGGUUGUAAACUGCUUUUGUACGGAACGAAACGGUGAGCUCUAAUACAGUUUGCUAAUGACGGUACCGUAAGAAUAAGCACCGGCUAACUACGUG